AGAGUUUGAUCCUGGCUCAGGACGAACGCUGGCGGCGCGCCUAACACAUGCAAGUCGAACGAGAGAUGAGGAGCUUGCUCUUCAAAUCGAGUGGCGAACGGGUGAGUAACGCGUGAGGAACCUGCCUCAAAGAGGGGGACAACAGUUGGAAACGACUGCUAAUACCGCAUAAGCCCACGGCUCGGCAUCGAGCAGAGGGAAAAGGAGUGAUCCGCUUUGAGAUGGCCUCGCGUCCGAUUAGCUAGUUGGUGAGGUAACGGCCCACCAAGGCGACGAUCGGUAGCCGGACUGAGAGGUUGAACGGCCACAUUGGGACUGAGACACGGCCCAGACUCCUACGGGAGGCAGCAGUGGGGAAUAUUGCACAAUGGGGGAAACCCUGAUGCAGCGACGCCGCGUGGAGGAAGAAGGUCUUCGGAUUGUAAACUCCUGUUGUUGAGGAAGAUAAUGACGGUACUCAACAAGGAAGUGACGGCUAACUACGUGCCAGCAGCCGCGGUAAAACGUAGGUCACAAGCGUUGUCCGGAAUUACUGGGUGUAAAGGGAGCGCAGGCGGGAGAACAAGUUGGAAGUGAAAUCCAUGGGCUCAACCCAUGAACUGCUUUCAAAACUGUUUUUCUUGAGUAGUGCAGAGGUAGGCGGAAUUCCCGGUGUAGCGGUGGAAUGCGUAGAUAUCGGGAGGAACACCAGUGGCGAAGGCGGCCUACUGGGCACCAACUGACGCUGAGGCUCGAAAGUGUGGGUAGCAAACAGGAUUAGAUACCCUGGUAGUCCACACCGUAAACGAUGAUUACUAGGUGUUGGAGGAUUGACCCCUUCAGUGCCGCAGUUAACACAAUAAGUAAUCCACCUGGGGAGUACGACCGCAAGGUUGAAACUCAAAGGAAUUGACGGGGGCCCGCCAAGCAGUGGAGUAUGUGGUUUAAUUCGACGCAACGCGAAAAACCUUACCAAGUCUUGCAUCCCUUGACAAGCUGGAAACAGUUUUUCUUUCGAACAAGGAACAGGUGGUGCAUGGUUUCCUCACCUCUGGCCGGAGAAUUUGGGUUAAUCCCCGAACAAGCGCACCCUUAUGUGCAGUUUCCCCCAAGAGACCUUGGCCAAAUCGCUUGAAAAAAAGAGAGAAGGGGGGGAUGACGUCAAAUCAUCAUGCCCUUUAUGACUUGGGCUACACACGUACUACAAUGGCGUUAAACAAAGAGAAGCAAGACCGCGAGGUGGAGCAAAACUCAGAAACAACGUCCCAGUUCGGACUGCAGGCUGCAACUCGCCUGCACGAAGUCGGAAUUGCUAGUAAUCGUGGAUCAGCAUGCCACGGUGAAUACGUUCCCGGGCCUUGCACACACCGCCCGUC
rnacentral:rRNA from 1 species